AUUGAACGCUGGCGGCAGGCUUAACACAUGCAAGUCGAACGAGUGGCGGACGGGUGAGUAAUGCUUGGGAAUCUAGCUUAUGGAGGGGGAUAACUACUGGAAACGGUAGCUAAUACCGCAUACCAUCAGAUGAACCCAUAUGGGAUUAGCUUGUAGGUGAGGUAACGGCUCACCUAGGCGACGAUCCCUAGCUGGUCUGAGAGGAUGAUCAGCCACACUGGGACUGAGACACGGCCCAGACUCCUACGGGAGGCAGCAGUGGGGAAUAUUGCACAAUGGGCGCAAGCCUGAUGCAGCCAUGCCGCGUGUAUGAAGAAGGCCUUCGGGUUGUAAAGUACUUUCAGUCGGGAGGCGUUACCGACAGAAGAAGCACCGGCUAACUCCGUGCCAGCAGCCGCGGUAAUAC
rnacentral:rRNA from 1 species